CCCGCGCUGCCGCCGGGCGGCCAUGGCGGCCGCGCUGCCAGGGGGGAGUAGGGCCCCGCGCCAUCGGCCGCCAUCCGCGGGCGCUGCGGGCCCCAGGGGCGCGGGGGCGGCGGGAUGGACAGCGGGGGACGCUUGCGCGCCGUCGCGGCUGUCUGUAGGGGCACGGCGAGGUCUCCAUGUCUAACGAGCAUGGCAUCAGGCAAGGGUGAAAGCACUCACCUGCCUGGGAAGCUGAUUCCUUCACUGGGCUGACAGGGAACGAUGGAGGAAACCAUCCUGCAGAAUCCUGGGGUUGGAUCUUCUCCCAAAGAAAGCUUUGGCAAGAAGGCAGCUGCUAAGUUGGGCUUCAAGCUGAAGAUCAAUAACAUUCACUGACAGGCUGAACCAGGCAAACGUGACAACAGUGGCUCCUUAAAUGACAUCCAGAAGCAACAGAAGGAAGAUGGUUCUGGAGUGGGUCUGGGAAAUGGCCCCAGAUGGGUCAUGCAGGACGGUGUAAAAUGGCCACCUCUGUGUACCUGCAGGCUGCUCCUCACUGGUGGCUGCACCUGCAUCACUGGUGCUGAUCUGCAGUUGGCUGGAGGAAAAAGUGAUUCCCUGCUGUCUUCUGAUACAGAAUAAAACAAA